rnacentral:rRNA from 1 species
AGCAGCCGCGGUAAUUCCAGCUCCAAUAGCGUAUAUUAAAGUUGUUGCAGUUAAAAAGCUCGUAGUUGAAUUUCGGGAUCAAUUUGUUGGUCGUGCCUCGGUACGUACUGGCAUUAUUGGUUUCUACCUUCUGAAGAACCUUGAUGUCAUUAAUUUGGUGUCUUGGGGAAUCAGGACUGUUACUUUGAAAAAAUUAGAGUGUUUAAAGCAGGCAUACGCUUGAAUACAUUAGCAUGGAAUAAUGAAAUAGGACGUUUGAUUCUAUUUUGUUGGUUUCUAGGAUCGACGUAAUGAUUAAUAGGGAUAGUUGGGGGCAUUAGUAUUCAAUUGUCAGAGGUGAAAUUCUUGGAUUUAUUGAAGACUAACUACUGCGAAAGCAUUUGCCAAGGAUGUUUUUCAUUAAUCAAGAACGAAAGUUAGGGGAUCGAAGACGAUCAGAUACCGUCGUAGUCUUAACCAUAAACUAUGCCGACUAGGGAUCGGGAUGAUGUUAUUUUUAAUGACUCAUUCGGCGCCUUAC